GAAGUGUUAUGCCACAAUAUUACCAACUGAGUGAAACACGGACUACAGAAUAGAAUAGAGACAGCCCCUACUGCACCCCAAGCUUCCAGAAUCAGAGAAGCCAGUGUCGGCCAGACAGCCUCGACCAGCACCCACAGUGAGUCGGAGUGGUCAGUUGGUCCCGAAGCGUGUGGGUGUGAAGGACUUGGACCAGCGGUUCUCUGAUGUGACCGAAACGUUCAACCAGCAGCAUGAGAGCUAUAAUGUCAUGAAGGAACGCAUCAUAUCUCUCCGCCGCACUUACAACUGUAACAAUGACAGCACCCUGACUCUGACCGAGUGUGUGAGGAAGAUCAAGGAGGAGUACAAGGACAGCUACAGGGUAACCGUGAUGAUAAAGGGGUAUGACUUCUCUCUCUCUGUGGUUCCGCUGAGGUCUGUGGAUGAGGGAGAAAAGUCUCUGCCUCGCCUACUCCGGUUGGCUCAGGAUGAGCUCAGGGGCUUUUCCCAGGGCGCCAUAGCAAUAGUCGCUGCCGGGACCAAGCUCCAGGUGCUGAUAGACUGGCUGCUUAGUCGGGGGGAGCGAAUGGCGGAGCAGGUCAGGGAGGUGGCACCAACUCAUCAGGACCACUGUAGGCUGGAGGAGAACCUGAUUGAGACCAUGCAGGAAGUGAGAAGGGUGAGGGAGCUUUCGCUAGGGUACUGCCAGCAGGCUAGAGAGAUCCAAACUGAGGCCGCACAGAUAGCAGGGCUGGCCUGACACACACAUACAGACACACUCUGGUAACACUGAAUUUAUAAAUGUCACAUUUAAAUCUUAUGGGAAUUAAUUUAGGCUAUUUUUACUAUCAUGUAAAAGCACACUAUAGACCUACACUGUUACACAACACACUAGAUAGUAUUUCAGUAUUAUAUAGUGAGUAUGUCUAUAAACAUGUUAGAGAAAUUAGCUGUGAUAUAUCCUAAUGUAUUCUGGACAGGAAUUCCUCAUCUAAAUCCUAAUCUAAUCAAACACUGUGUUGAUUAAACCACUGUCAAUGUUAGAGAUCAUGUUAGUGUUUUUUCUAUGUUAAUACUGUAUGUUAUUGUAUUUUAUAACAAAUUAAAACUGCAAACUUGUUAGUGUCUUAAGUUUUGAAUGAAUAUGUUUGAGUGACAUAGCUGAGUAUUUAACAUUUUUAUUCCACACAUCACAACCACUUAGCACGCAGAGACUUCUUACUGGUACUGACAGGACCCCGCAGCAGGAGAAGGGGAUGGAGGAAGGGAUAGGGAGAAGGAAGGAGAGACUGUGUGGGGGGUUAGGGGUGGUAGAGAGCGAGAGAGAUGUGUGUGUGUGUGUGUGUGUGUGUUAAGAGAGGGAAAAAAGGGAGAUGAGAGGAUGGGAGAAAGAUAUUUGCUACUGGUAUGUUGCUGCUGUAGUGUGGACUAGGACAUGCCAGUCAAUAACUUACAUAAUGUAUUAGCUCAAAUGUUAAGUACUGCAAUUAUCUGAAGGCCUACUGUUUCUCUGCAUCCAUAACCUUUGCAUGGCCAUUAGCUAUGCACCUCAUACUGAGACUGGCAGACAGGCCUUUCCCUGGUUAAUUAUUAUGUCAACCUUAUAUAAUUAAGCAAUAAGGCCCAUACCACAGCUAAGGGCUGCUCUUUCAUUUUAGUCAUUUAGCAGACGCUGUUAUCCAGAAUGAUUUACAUGAGCAAUUAGGGUUAAAUACCUUGGCCAAGGGCACAUCAGCAGAUGUUUCACCUAGUUGGCUUGGGGAUUCAAACCAGUGACCCUGACACAACGCUCUUAACCACUAGGCUACCCG
rnacentral:lncRNA from 8 species